rnacentral:misc_RNA from 1 species
GAUGAAGAACGCAGCGAAAUGCGAUAAGUAAUGCGAAUUGCAGAAUUUCCGUGAGUCAUCGAAUCUUUGAACGCACAUUGCGCCCCCUGGUAUUCCGGGGGGCAUGCCUGUCCGAGCGUCAUUGCUGCCCUCAAGCACGGCUUGUGUGUUGGGCCCCGUCCUCCGAUUCCGGGGGACGGGCCCGAAAGGCAGCGGCGGCACCGCGUCCGGUCCUCGAGCGUAUGGGGCUUUGUCACCCGCUCUGUAGGCCCGGCCGGCGCUUGCCGAUCAACCCAAAUUUUUAUCCAGGUUGACCUCGGAUCAGGUAGGGAUACCCUCUGAACUUAAGCAUAUCAAUAAGCGGAGGA